rnacentral:rRNA from 1 species
AGAGUUUGAUCCUGGCUCAGAUUGAACGCUGGCGGCAGGCCUAACACAUGCAAGUCGAGCGGCAGCGGGUCCUUCGGGCCAUGNNNNNNNNNNNNNNNNNNNNNNNNNNNNNNNNNNNNNNNNNNNNNNNNNNNNNNNNNNNNNNNNACUUGUGCUAAUACCGCAUACGUCCUACGGGAGAAAGUGGGGGAUCUUCGGACCUCACGCUAUCAGAUGGACCCGCGUCGGAUUAGCUAGUUGGUGAGGUAAAGGCUCACCAAGGCGACGAUCCGUAACUGGUCUGAGAGGAUGAUCAGUCACACUGGAACUGAGACACGGUCCAGACUCCUACGGGAGGCAGCAGUGGGGAAUAUUGGACAAUGGGCGAAAGCCUGAUCCAGCCAUGCCGCGUGUGUGAAGAAGGUCUUCGGAUUGUAAAGCACUUUAAGUUGGGAGGAAGGGCAGUAAGUUAAUACCUUGCUGUUUUGACGUUACCAACAGAAUAAGCACCGGCUAACUUCGUGCCAGCAGCCGCGGUAAUACGAAGGGUGCAAGCGUUAAUCGGAAUUACUGGGCGUAAAGCGCGCGUAGGUGGUUCGUUAAGUUGGAUGUGAAAGCCCCGGGCUCAACCUGGGAACUGCAUCCAAAACUGGCUAGCUAGAGUAUGGCAGAGGGUGGUGGAAUUUCCUGUGUAGCGGUGAAAUGCGUAGAUAUUAGGAGGAACACCAGUGGCGAAGGCGACUUCCUGGCUUGUAACUGACACUGAGGCGCGAAAGCGUGGGGAUCAAACAGGAUUAGAUACCCUGGUAGUCCACGCCGUAAACGAUGUCGACUAGCCGUUGGGAUCCUUGAGAUCUUAGUGGCGCAGCUAACGCAUUAAGUUGACCGCCUGGGGAGUACGGCCGCAAGGUUAAAACUCAAAUGAAUUGACGGGGGCCCGCACAAGCGGUGGAGCAUGUGGUUUAAUUCGAAGCAACGCGAAGAACCUUACCAGGCCUUGACAUGCAGAGAACUUUCCAGAGAUGGAUUGGUGCCUUCGGGGACCAUGAGACAGGUGCUGCAUGGCUGUCGUCAGCUCGUGUCGUGAGAUGUUGGGUUAAGUCCCGUAACGAGCGCAACCCUUGUCCUUAGUUGCCAGCGAGUAAUGUCGGGAACUCUAAGGAGACUGCCGGUGACAAACCGGAGGAAGGUAGGGAUGACGUCAAGUCAUCAUGGCCCUUAUAGGUAGGGCUACACACGUGCUACAAUGGCCGGUACAAAAGGCAGCGAAACCGCGAGGUGGAGCAAAUCCCUUAAAGCCGGUCGUAGUCCGGAUUGGAGUCUGCAACUCGACUCCAUGAAGUUGGAAUCGCUAGUAAUCGUGGAUCAGAACGCCACGGUGAAUACGUUCCCGGGCCUUGUACACACCGCCCGUCACACCAUGGGAGUGGGUUGCACCAGAAGUGAUUAGUCUAACCGUAAGGGGGACGAUCACCACGGUGUGGUUCAUGACUGGGGUGAAGUCGUAACAAGGUAACC